CAGCCGCCGCGGGAAUACGAAGGGUGCAAGCGUUAAUCGGAACUACUGGGCGUAAAGCGUGCGUAGGCGGUUUGUUAAGUCUGUUGUGAAAUCCCCGGGCUCAACCUGGGAAUGGCAAUGGAUACUGGCAAGCUAGAGUGUGUCAGAGGAUGGUGGAAUUCCCGGUGUAGCGGUGAAAUGCGUAGAGAUCGGGAGGAACAUCAGUGGCGAAGGCGGCCAUCUGGGACAACACUGACGCUGAGGCACGAAAGCGUGGGGAGCAAACAGGAUUAGAUACCCCGGUAGUCCCUGUCUCUUAUAC
rnacentral:rRNA from 1 species